rnacentral:rRNA from 1 species
GUGACCCCAGGAUGGGCGAGGCCACCCGCUGAGUUUAAGCAUAUCAAUAAGCGGAGGAGAAAAAAACUUACAUA